CCCUUAGAUGUUCUGGGCCGCACGCGCGCUACACUGAUUCAUGCAACAAGUUUUGUCCUUGGCUGAUAGGCCUGGGUAAUCUUUGAACGUGAAUCGUGAUGGGGAUAGAUGAUUGCAAUUAUUCAUCUUCAACGAGGAAUUCCUAGUAAACGCAAGUCAUCAGCUUGCAUUGAUUACGUCCCUGCCCUUUGUACACACCGCCCGUCGCACCUACCGAUUGAAUGGUCCGGUGAAAUCUUCGGAUCUGAGAGAUGUCUGAUUAAUUUCGGGCGCCUUUUGGAAAAGUUGCUUAAACCUUACCAUUUAGAGGAAGGUGAAGUCGUAACA
rnacentral:rRNA from 1 species